UUAGACUCAGAUUCUUCUUCUUA
rnacentral:sRNA from 1 species